UCGGUAAAGAAGUUCUAUACCUGAUUUGUGUUGCAUUGGUACAGGUGGGCGCUAUGAAGUGAUACACGUCGUGUUUAGAACAAAUAGGGCCUGGAAUAGAACAGUAGACGACAGAGAAUCGAUAAUUCCUUCCAGUGAACCAACAGUACUACAAGCAGUGUGGUGAUGAACAUUAGCCUGGGU